rnacentral:rRNA from 1 species
CCUACGGGGGGCAGCAGUGGGGAAUAUUGGACAAUGGGGGGAACCCUGAUCCAGCCAUGCCGCGUGUGUGAAGAAGGCCCUCGGGUUGUAAAGCCCUUUCAGUGAGGAAGAACGCCUGGUGGUUAAUACCCAUCAGGAAAGACAUCACUCACAGAAGAAGCACCGGCUAACUCCGUGCCAGCAGCCGCGGUAAUACGGAGGGUGCGAGCGUUAAUCGGAAUUACUGGGCGUAAAGCGCGCGUAGGUGGCUUGAUAAGCCGGUUGUGAAAGCCCCGGGCUCAACCUGGGAACGGCAUCCGGAACUGUCAAGCUAGAGUGCAGGAGAGGAAGGUAGAAUUCCCGGUGUAGCGGUGAAAUGCGUAGAGAUCGGGAGGAAUACCAGUGGCGAAGGCGGCCUUCUGGACUGACACUGACACUGAGGUGCGAAAGCGUGGGUAGCAAACAGGAUUAGAUACCCGUGUAGUC